UGAUGGGUUAGCUCAGUGAUUAGAACUUAGGGCUUGCGACCGGAAGGUCCCGGGUUCGAAUCUCGCCAGAGGAA
rnacentral:tRNA from 1 species